rnacentral:tRNA from 1 species
AGAGAGUUGACUGAGUGGUUUAAGGUGAUAAGCUUGAAAUUUAUUUGGUUAAAUUGAUCACAUCCGUUCGAAUCGGAUAUUCUCUG